rnacentral:rRNA from 1 species
CUGGCUCAGGAUGAACGCUAGCGACAGGCUAACACAUGCAAGUCGAGGGGCAGCAUAAAAGUAGCAAUACUUGGUGGCGACCGGCGCACGGGUGAGUAACGCGUAUGCAACCUACCUAUCAGGAGGGGAAUAACCCGGCGAAAGUCGGACUAAUACCGCAUAAAACAGGGGCACCGCAUGGUGAUAUUUGUUAAAGAAAUUCGCUGAUAGAUGGGCAUGCGUUCCAUUAGGUAGUUGGUGAGGUAACGGCUCACCAAGCCGACGAUGGAUAGGGGAACUGAGAGGUUGGUCCCCCACACUGGUACUGAGACACGGACCAGACUCCUACGGGAGGCAACAGUGAGGAAUAUUGGUCAAUGGGCGGGAGCCUGAACCAGCCAAGUCGCCGUGAAGGAAGAAGGAUCUAUGGUUCGUAAACUUCUUUUGCAGGGGAAUAAAGUGCAGGACGUGUCCUGUUUUGUAUGUACCCUGAGAAUAAGGAUCGGCUAACUCCGUGCCAGCCGCCGC